CGCUUAUGCGUUGUUGGGUAGGGGAGCGUUCUGUAAGCCUGUGAAGGUGGCCUGUGAGGGUUGCUGGAGGUAUCAGAAGUGCGAAUGCUGACAUAAGUAACGAUAAAGCGGGUGAAAAGCCCGCUCGCCGGAAGACCAAGGGUUCCUGUCCAACGUUAAUCGGGGCAGGGUGAGUCGACCCCUAAGGCGAGGCCGAAAGGCGUAGUCGAUGGGAAACGGGUUAAUAUUCCCGUACUUGGUGUUACUGCGAAGGGGGGACGGAGAAGGCUAUGUUGGCCGGGCGACGGUUGUCCCGGUUUAAGCGUGUAGGUGUGUGUUCCAGGUAAAUCCGGUUCACUUUAACACUGAGGCGUGAUGACGAGGCACUACGGUGCUGAAGCAACAAAUGCCCUGCUUCCAGGAAAAGCCUCUAAGCAUCAGGUAACAUCAAAUCGUACCCCAAACCGACACAGGUGGUCAGGUAGAGAAUACCAAGGCGCUUGAGAGAACUCGGGUGAAGGAACUAGGCAAAAUGGUGCCGUAACUUCGGGAGAAGGCACGCUGACACGUAGGUGAAGUGAUUUACUCAUGGAGCUGAAGUCAGUCGAAGAUACCAGCUGGCUGCAACUGUUUAUUAAAAACACAGCACUGUGCAAACACGAAAGUGGACGUAUACGGUGUGACGCCUGCCCGGUGCCGGAAGGUUAAUUGAUGGGGUCAGCGCAAGCGANUAUGUAGGUGAAGCGGUUUACCCGUGGAGCUGAAAUCAGUCGAAGAUACCAGCUGGCUGCAACUGUUUAUUAAAAACACAGCACUGUGCAAACACGAAAGUGGACGUAUACGGUGUGACGCCUGCCCGGUGCCGGAAGGUUAAUUGAUGGGGUCAGCGCAAGCGAAGCUCCUGAUCGAAGCCCCGGUAAACGGCGGCCGUAACUAUAACGGUCCUAAGGUAGCGAAAUUCCUUGUCGGGUAAGUUCCGACCUGCACGAAUGGCGUANGACGCCUGCCCGGUGCCGGAAGGUUAAUUGAUGGGGUCAGCGCAAGCGAAGCUCCUGAUCGAAGCCCCGGUAAACGGCGGCCGUAACUAUAACGGUCCUAAGGUAGCGAAAUUCCUUGUCGGGUAAGUUCCGACCUGCACGAAUGGCGUAAUGAUGGCCAGGCUGUCUCCACCCGAGACUCAGUGAAAUUGAACUCGCUGUGAAGAUGCAGUGUACCCGCGGCAAGACGGAAAGACCCCGUGAACCUUUACUAUAGCUUGACACUGAACAUUGAGCCUUGAUGUGUAGGAUAGGUGGGAGGCUUUGAAGUGUGGACGCCAGUCUGCAUGGAGCCGACCUUGAAAUACCACCCUUUAAUGUUUGAUGUUCUAACGUGGACCCGU
rnacentral:rRNA from 1 species